UACAGAGGUCUCAAGCGUUGUUCGGAAUUACUGGGCGUAAAGGGUGCGCAGGUCGCGCGGGCAGUCAAAUGUGUAAUCCAGGGGCUCAACCCCUGAACUGCGCUUGAUACUUCCGCGCUCGAGCUUUGGAGAGGAGUCUGGAAUUCUCGGUGUAGCAGUGAAAUGCGUGGAUAUCGAGAAGAACACUUAGGGCGUAGGCAAGACUCUGGACAAAUGCUGACGCUCAUGCACGAAGGCUAGGGUAGCGAACGGG
rnacentral:rRNA from 1 species